rnacentral:rRNA from 1 species
AUCGAACGCUGGCGGCAGGCCUAAUACAUGCAAGUCGAGCGCCGCUGCGGACGAGUGAUUAAUGCCUAGGAAUCUGCCCGGUAGUGAGGGAUACCGUACGGAAACGGGCGCUUAUAACGCAUACUAUCAGAUCAGUCUCGGUCGUAUUAGCUAGUUGGUGGGGUAAAGGCUUACCAAGGCGACGAUGCGUAGCUGAGCUGAGAGGGUGAUCCGUCACACUGGAACUGAGACACGGCCCAGACUCCUACGGGAGGCAGCAGUAGGGAAGCGUGGACAAGGGGCGAAAGCCUGAUCGAGCCAUGCCGCGUGUGUGAAGAAGGUCUUCGGAUUGUAAAGCACUUUAGGUAGAGAGGCGUUAUCAACAGAGUAAGCAACGGCUAACUUCGUGCCAGCAGCCGCGGUAAUAC